GUGGGGAAUAUUGGACAAUGGGGGGAACCCUGAUCCAGCCAUGCCGCGUGUGUGAAGAAGGUCUUCGGAUUGUAAAGCACUUUAAGUUGGGAGGAAGGGCAGUAAGUUAAUACCUUGCUGUUUUGACGUUACCGACAGAAUAAGCACCGGCUAACUUCGUGCCAGCAGCCGCGGUAAUACGAAGGGUGCAAGCGUUAAUCGGAAUUACUGGGCGUAAAGCGCGCGUAGGUGGUUUUGUAAGUUGGAGGUGAAAUCCCCGGGCUCAACCUGGGAACUGCCACCAAAACUGCAUGACUAGAGUACGGUAGAUGGUAGUGGAAUUGCCUGUGUAGCGGUGAAAUGCGUAGAUAUAGGAAGGAACACCAGUGGCGAAGGCGACUACCUGGACUGAUACUGACACUGAGGUGCGAAAGCGUGGGGAGCAAACAGGAUUAGAUACCCGUGUAGUCC
rnacentral:rRNA from 1 species